CCUCACCACCCCCUCUCCGAGUCCACUUAGGGAGACUCGGCUUGCCGGGGUCUCAGGGUCAGAGUCCUGGAGGCACUUUGGAGGUCAGGAAAGAAAGCCAGGGAGAGGGUCCCUUCGAAUGGGAACCCAGCGUCUCCUCCCCAAGUCCAGCCACAGAUGUCGGCAGCUGGGGGGUUCCUUUGGCUGGUCUGGGGUGACCACUCUCUGCUUCAUUUGGAGCAUUCUCAGGGGCUGUGGUGACGAUUGUGUGGUAGGCCUCUGUCCCACUCCAAGGCACCCACUCUCUGGGACGGGUGCCCGCCGGGGUGUUUGGACUCCUGGGGGUGACUUGUCAGCCAUCUGCUUGCAGUUGGAUGUCCCAGGCCGACAGUGGUCUGGCUUCUGAGGGGUCAGGCCAGAAUGUGGGGUACGUGGGAGGCCAGCAGAGGGUUCCAUGAGAAGGGCAGGACAGGGACACGGACAGUUGGCUUCCAUGUGACGCCUGGAGACAGAAGGUCUCUGGGUGGCUGGGAACAAUGCAAGCCGGGCGCCCAGAGUUUUUGUGGGGUGAGGAUGGACAUUCUGCCAUUGUGACUACUACGGUAUGGACUCCUGGGGCCAAGGGGUCAUGGUCACCGUCUCCUCAGUGUCCACCAAGGCUCCGGACGUGUUCCCCAUCGCAUCAGCAUGCGAACUCCCAAAGGAUAACAGCCCUGUGGUCCUGGCAUGCCUGAUAACUGGGUACAACCCAAAGUCUGUGACUGUCACCUGGCACCUGGGGACACAGAUCCAGGACCAGAUUACGUUCCCUGAGACAGAGAGACAGGGCAGCUACACAACAAGCAGCCAGCUCGCCACCCCACCCCUCUCCCAGUGGCACCAAGGCGAGUAUAAAUGCAUCGUCGAGCACACCCCCAGCAAUACAAGCACGGAGAAGACCUUCCGCUGGCCAGAGUCUCCAAAGGCACAGUACCCCUCAGGGCCCACUGCACAGCCCCAAGCAGAGGGCGGCCUCUCCAAGGCAACCAGAACCCCGGCCACCACCAGGAACACAGAGUGUCCAAGCCACACCCAGCCUCUCGGCCUCUACCUGCUGCCCCCGGCCCUGCAGGACCUGUGGUUCCGAGACAAAGCCACCUUCACCUGCUUCGUGGUGGGCAGUGACCUGCAGGAUGCCCACCUGUCCUGGGAGGUGGCCGGGAAGGUCCCCAAAGGGGGCAUGGAGAAGGGGCCGCUGGAGCAGCACAGCAACGGCUCCCAGAGCCAGCACAGCCGCCUGGCCCUACCCAGGUCCUUGUGGAAUGCGGGGACCUCUGUCACCUGCACACUGAACCAUCCCAGCUUCCCAUCCCAGAAGCUGAUGGCGCCGAGAGAACCCGCUGCCCAGGCACCCGUCAGGCUUUCCCUGAACCUGCUGGCCUCGUCUGACUCUCCGGAAGCAGCCUCAUGGCUCCUGUGUGAGGUGUCUGGCUUCUCGCCCCCCAACAUCCUCCUGAUGUGGCUGGAGGACCAGCGCGAGGUGAACACUUCUUGGUUUGCCACCACGCACCCCACUCCACAGCCCGGGAGCACCAUGUUCUGGGCCUGGAGUGUGCUGCGUGUCCCAGGCCCCACCGGCCCUCAGCCAGCCACCUACACCUGUGUGGUCAGCCACGAGGACUCCAGGACUCUGCUCAAUGCCAGCCGGAGCCUGGAUGUCAGCUACCUGGCCACGACCCCCCCGAUCCCUCAGAGCAAGGAUGAGAACAGCGAUGACUACACGACCUUGGAUGACAUUGGCAGCCUGUGGACCACCCUGUCCACGUUCGUGGCCCUCUUCGUCCUCACCCUCCUCUACAGCGGCAUUGUCACUUUCAUCAAGGUGAAGUAGCCCUAGAAGAGCAGGACGCGCUGUACCUGUAGAAAAGGGAAGCAGCCUCUGUGCCUCAUCCAUGGAUGCCAGAGAGCAGAAAGCACCCACCCUGGACUCUGCUGUAUGCAGGAAAAUGCACCAGCCCCUGCCUCCAGCUCGCCUCUGUCCGCCACAGAACCCAGUCUUCUAGACCAGGGGAACGGGCACCCAUCACUCCGCAGGUGAAGCAGAGCACCCCUGCCCUGGCCCUAACCCCUGUGCCUCCUUCCUGUGCUUCCCCCAGAGCCAGCUAGUCCCAUCUGCACCCCCCGGCCUCCCCAUAAACACGCUUUGGUUCAUUUCA